rnacentral:lncRNA from 1 species
UCAAAAUCCAUAGCAACAACCAUUCCUCAGCCUCGCACGUCACCACCAGCUGCUCAAUCUGCAAAAGGUUUUGAAAACAAUUGCAGGGCUGAGUACUAGUGUACUCAGUGGGUUGAGCCAUUUAAAAACAUUUUAAAAAUCAUUUACUGAAAAAGAUAAUUUAUGCCUUAAACAGUAUAACACAGAAUGUUUUUAAAAUGAGUCAUUCCAUGCAUACUAAAAUAAUCUAAGCUAAUAUUUUCCUGGCUCAUCUAUUGGGCGUGCUAUCUACAACUGGUUGUCAUUGAAUCUCUUGAGACAACAGGUUCUGGUGUACGUACACAAUUCUGGUUGGCAGAGUUAACAAAGUUCUGGUUGGCGAAGCCAACAAUGUUCUAGUAGAAGCAAUAACCAAUAGAGAGCAAAAAUAUUUUAAGCAUGAACCAUCCACUUUAGCAUUUCAUAAAAGCGAGCUUAUUAGCUCAACAUACAUUUCGUAAAUAAAGCCUCACCUAAUUUGGAGACAAUCCAAAUAAUUUAACUGAGUUGAUCAGGAACCUAAGUAUCAUCUUCUGUAGGUCCUACAAGAUAAGUUCUCAACUUAAACUCAUAGUCCUAAAAUAAACCUUAAUCUUAUAGUGAAACGCUUAAUAUUCUAUGAUUCACUUAGCCGGAAUUUCAAAAUUUAAUAAAUAAAUAUUUUAAAACUAAAUCUCUUGAGUUAUGGACACCAACAAUAUCCUUACUCAUUUUUCUUCAAUAAUUGAUUUUAUAAAUCAAACCAAUUAAAACAUAAAUGAUUUUAUUAGCGAAAUAUAUAAUACAGAUCAUUUCAUGCUCAACUCAUAUAGUAAGUAAUUGUACUUAAUAUAUGCACAUAAUAUUAAUAUUUAUAAUAUUAUGCAAUCAUUCAUUAAAGCAAUUUAUUAAUCAAAUUUAAAUACAUGUCAAGCUCAAUAAUCAAAUAAGGGCAAGUCAUACUCUUUAAGAAUAAAAGUGCCAAUUAAUUAAAAUCUGAAUCCCAAUUUAAAUUAGAUAUGCAGUCCAUAACAGAGCCCAAAUAAUUAAAUGAGAUAGUCCACUUUAUUAAAAAUAAUAAAGCCCAAGUUUUAAAUAAAAUCUGAGCCCAAUUGAAAAGAAUUCGUAGCCCAUAAGAGGCUCCAAAUUAAUUAGGGCAAGGCCCCAAACUCUUUCUUCUUGUUUUUAAAACACACACACACAAACACACACACAAACGCUGCUGCCCCCUCGCCUUCUUCUCUCCUCCGGCAGACUGCAACAGCGCCGUCCUCUGGCCGCCGCCGCCGCCAUCCCUGACUUCCCUCUCCCUCGCCCUUGCUCUCUCUUUCUUCCUCACCUCCCCUCACGCACACUCACAGACUGAAAAUCCUGUCGCCUCCUCCCUCAAAAUUUUUCGGCGACAGCCACCACCACCAUGGCCGCCGCCGCGUGCUCCGCUCCCUCGAUGGCUGGAGAGCCGUCGCUGCCCCUUUCUCCCUCUGAAAACCCCAUCCCCAAACUCACUGACAGCCCUCCUCUCCAUCUCUCGACUUCGGCAACCGUAGUAGCCUGUGAGGCCAGCCGCCGCCGCUCGAAUUUCAGACGACGGCGCCGCCUCUCUCCUGCAUUUUGUCGGACGGCCACCGCACCCCAGCCCCUAUCUCCCUCUCUCUCACCGUCUCCAGCCCGGCAGCAGCGGCGAAGCCGCCGUGCCACGCCUCCCUCUGUCUCACGGCCCCUCUCUCGCUCACCUGUACACUCCGGCGCCUCCCUUUCUCCUGUAUCGGCCGGAUGGCCGGCAACAAGCUCGCCGCCAUCCCGACGCCGCUCGACUCAGCUCAACACACACACUACACCAUACACGUUUCAAAAGUUUGAAACUUUUCUUCCAUUUUAAGCAAAAAUCUUUAUCUAGUUGUAAAAACAAAGCUAAUGCUUUUUAUUGAAUUUUCUUGCUGUAUUAUGCUCAAAUAUACAUAUAUAUAUGUACUGAAAAGAUGAAAUGGAUGCAUAUGCUGUAUUUCUUGUUUUGUCUCUAAGAGAGUUGAGAUGCUAACUAAGUUAAAGGUAUAACCUUUCAGAAUGAAUCUGUUGAAACUUUGAAGUUGAUUGAUUGCUGGAUUUGUGGUGAGGAAGAACUUGAUGAAUGCUCCUGUAUGAACUUGGCUUUGCGAAAACAAUUUGGGUGGAAUAUGAGUGAAGGAGAACUUGGCUGCAUUCUCUCUUGAGUUGGCAGAGGAGUUGCCUUAAGCAAAGGUGUGUUGGGAGUUGAAA